AGACAAGUUGUCAGAAUGGCUUUUAAUUU
rnacentral:piRNA from 1 species